CAGAGCUUAAUUAAAUAUUGUUCUCAUUUACGUUGAGGGGUUUUUUUGUGUGAUUCAAAAUGCUCUGA
rnacentral:tRNA from 1 species